UACGAAGGGGGCUAGCGUUGCUCGGAAUCACUGGGCGUAAAGGGUGCGUAGGCGGGUCUUUAAGUCAGGGGUGAAAUCCUGGAGCUCAACUCCAGAACUGCCUUUGAUACUGAGGAUCUUGAGUUCGGGAGAGGUGAGUGGAACUGCGAGUGUAGAGGUGAAAUUCGUAGAUAUUCGCAAGAACACCAGUGGCGAAGGCGACAUACUGGCUCAUUACUGACGCUGAGGCUCGAAAGCGUGGGGAGCAAACAGG
rnacentral:rRNA from 1 species